rnacentral:rRNA from 1 species
AUGAACGCUGGCGGCGUGCCAAAUACAUGCAAGUCGAGCGAACGGACGAGAAGCUUGCUUCUCUGAUGUUAGCGGCGGACGGGUGAGUAACACGUGGAUAACCUACCUAUAAGACUGGGAUAACUUCGGGAAACCGGAGCUAAUACCGGAUAAUAUUUUGAACCGCAUGGUUCAAAAGUGAAAGACGGUCUUGCUGUCACUUAUAGAUGGAUCCGCGCUGCAUUAGCUAGUUGGUAAGGUAACGGCUUACCAAGGCAACGAUGCAUAGCCGACCUGAGAGGGUGAUCGGCCACACUGGAACUGAGACACGGUCCAGACUCCUACGGGAGGCAGCAGUAGGGAAUCUUCCGCAAUGGGCGAAAGCCUGACGGAGCAACGCCGCGUGAGUGAUGAAGGUCUUCGGAUCGUAAAACUCUGUUAUUAGGGAAGAACAUAUGUGUAAGUAACUGUGCACAUCUUGACGGUACCUAAUCAGAAAGCCACGGCUAACUACGUG